rnacentral:lncRNA from 1 species
GGCGGCGCCGGAGUCCUAGGCGCGCAAGGUCCAGUUCCCGUCUUGGGCCUGUCCUGGAUAGCGUUAGGGAGACAGUUCACAGGCUCUUCAAUCUUCGAGCGAGAAUUAGGGUGGGAAGGGUGAGUGUGGGGUCAGAGUUUCUGUCUGGAGAACAAGCAAACGUCUGCAGAUUGGUUUUCAAAGCGACUUGUGCGGAGUCGUGCAGUUACAGUAAGGUCCCAUCCAGCCUGGGAAUCGCCUGUCUUGGCUACGUGAAAAUGCUGAGUUUAACGAAAACGCAGUGAGCAGGUGUCAUCAGGUCAGCGCCGCUCAACCGUGAGAGACAAUCAUGGGGAAGAGUGACGCCUAAAAUAAACAAGCAAGGUUCUUUUAUAUCUUGGUAAAGUAAAAAGUUUGUGUCACAGGGAUUGCCUUGAGAAAUGGAGGCUCUCAGAGGGGGCGAAUGGGGACAGCGACCUGGCAAAGGGCGAAACGCCCUGGAGCACAGCAGACUUGCUUGGUGUUUGAAAACACACGGAAAGGAGUGUCGUCACUUUUUACAUACAGCGCACGUCACAAACAAAUUAAGAAAAAUUAGUGUUAGUGAAAAAAAUCAAUCUGAGAGGCCCUUUUAUUGUUGCUUAACAAUUUUAAUGUUCGCAGACGAAGUACUUUACCUAGAAUUUGAAAACCAUUUGAACCGAAUCUAAUUCUCAAGCCCUUGGUACGAAAUAAAGGUGAGCUCA